AUGAACCGCUGCGAGCUCACCGACCCCCCCUUCCGCGACGUCUCCAACCUCGGCACCCCAAAACCUAACCCCAACUCUCCCUCCCCGCUCUUCUUCACCGCCUCCAAAACACCACUCCCUGUCCCCACCCCGAGACCCCUGGUCCGCAGGAGGCCCCUCGCCGGCGCUGCGACCCCGACGCCAAUCGGCCGCAGGAAGGCCCUCGCCGGCGCGGCGACCCCGACGCCCAUCGGCCUCAGGACGGCCCUCGCCGGCGCGGCGACCCCGACGCCCCUCGCCCGCCGCCUCCGCGCCCUCGAACUCGACCAGUCGCGCUCCGCCCACCGCGCCGAGUCCGGCCGCGAGCGUGCACUCCGCGCCUUCGCCGCCUCCGCCUCGUCAUGGCUCUCCCUCCUACUCCGCGACCCCUCCGCCUGCGGCUGCUCCCCCGCUGCAACCGCCACGGCCACACACGUCUCUGCUGCGGGCAAGCGCGACAGGCUCGACGGGGAGCGCGCGCGGGGCAGCAGCCCGAAGCGGCACCGCGGCAGGGACCGCUACGGGGAGAAGAGGAAGGCGAUGACACCUGCCAUGGUGGCCGUGUUAAGGGAGUCCCUGAGGGAGGUGUGCAGCUUGGAGGAUGUGAAGCAGAGGAUGGGCAAGUACAUGAGCACGGAGGCGUGCGAGGAAGUGCUCGUCAUGAUGUGCCAAAUUUGUAAGAACAUUGACGAGAGAAGACUGAAGAUGAAAGCCAAUUGCCCGAUUGUUACCGAUCUUAGGCUGAAAGAGAACGCAACUAGAGUUUUCUUGUGUUACAAUCCAGAGUGGCUCAGGAUAGGCUUGCACAUUGUCCUUGGGGGCGAUUGCUUGCUACAGAGUGGAUCGUGGAAACAGGACAAGGAGGUUUUCUUUCUGAAACUUAUUCUGGAGAAGCAGUUGUUUGGUCAAAACGUGGCUCCAACAACUUUUGCUUACAAUAAGGUUGUAGACGGGCUCCACAGAACAGAUUAUACUGAAGCAUUGGGCAACAUUAUACUGAAAAGAAUGUUUCUGCUCGUCGCUGCUCUAGAUAGGGCGAAAAUGGAAAGAGCCCUACCUCUCAAAUUUGGAAUCGAUAGCCUUGACGGUGGAUCCCCUCCAUUGUUUUGUCACCGAGCCAACAUAAAAUCUAGCCAGCAGGUUAUCCAUCAGUCUUUGGCUGAGGCCAUGCAUGGAGAAGGUGAUCUCCUGAUGCAUCUGUCAACCAUGCGCUACAAACUAAAUUAUCAACAGCUUGCGCUGUCGGAGUAUGAUUUCACUAUAGGAAACUUAUUUGAAGAUCUCCAUGAUGGCAUAAUUCUUUGUAGAGUUGUUCAGCUCCUGCUUUCUGAUGCAUCGAUUAUUUUGAAAGUGAUUGCUCCAUCAGAUACACAUAAAAAGAAAUUGCACAAUUGCACCAUGGCUAUCCAGUAUAUCAAGCAAGCUGGAGUUCCAAUAUCUGAUAUAGAUGGAGUCACAAUUUCAGCAGAAGAUAUUGCUAAUGGCGACAAGGAACUAAUUCUUUCGUUGCUAUGGAAUAUGUUCAUUCAUAUGCAGUUACCCUUGCUAGUAAAUAAAACUUCACUAGCUCGUGAACUAUCCAGGUUAAAUGCAUCGGCGGUGGAACAACCAAUGUCUGUGACCAAGUCGCACAUGGCCUUGCUUUACGAUUGGAUUCAGGUGGUGUGUGCAAAAUAUGGCUUAAGUGUGGAAAGUUCUCAGAUUGACAGGAAAGCACUGAAAUACUUCAUAAAUCACUAUCUGAACAUUGGCAUUCAUAGGUGUCCCCUAAAGGAAACAUUUUCUGAUUGUCGAAAGGAAUUGUUCAGUUGCCAUGAACAAGAGACUUCCACUGCUAUCACCAGCUGUCCAUCAAGCAAACUAGGAGAAGUUCUUGGAGACUUUCUUCAGGUGGAUUUUCCAGCUAGUGGCAUCUUAGCCAAUGAUGUAUUAUUCGAUGAAAAGGGUGCAAUAAUUUUGAUUGCAUUCCUUUGUUCACAUCUGACUAAUGAUAAAAGAUUGGGACAACUACGGAAUUUGAUCAGUACGAGAUUGGACUGCCAAAGCCUGGAGAAUAGAGUUUCUGCUAGGCUUAAAUCUCCGGGAAAGAAUGAUGUGAAGUAUCAAUCUCCUCAGACAGAUAACACAGAUGAUUCACGCACUAGCCAGGAGAAGGCUGCUACAAUUAUACAAGCUCAAAUCAGACGGAUAAUUGCAAAGAACAGAUAUCAUAAGCUUAGGAAGUCAAUAUCUAUCCUGCAAGGUGCUAUAAGAGCUUGGUCAUCUGUUAUCAUGAUAAGGAAAUCGCGCUGUCUAACUGCCGCCUUCUCUACCCACGUGCGAGCACAUGGCAGCUAUAAUGGAUGGUUAAUUUCCAUAUUAGAAAGGCAUAGAUUUGUGCGAAUGAGAAGAUCUGCCAUUGUGAUUCAGCAGGCUGUAAGGAUUUGGAUUGGGGAAAGAAAGAAAUCUGAGAACAUCGAGCCUUUUGAAAGCCAUGGGUUCUUGGAAACUACAGCUUCACCGAAAACUGAUUGCAUAGAAAUGUGCGAUGGUGAGCAUGAAACAACACCUUGCAAGGAUUUGGGUACCUCGAUAGCUUCUGCUGCCCCUCAAUGCCUUGAUGAGAGUAACCAUAUAGAUACAGUCACUAUUCUGCAGCUUCAUGUCAAAAACAGCAACUAUGUAACUUUUCCUAGUCCUCAUCAGAGUAUCAUUAAGAGUGACUCUGUAAACUCUGUCAGCCAUCACCCAUGUGAGAUUGAGACUGCCAGCAUAGCAUCAGCCACUAAACUUGCGUGCGAGGAUGAUGUGGACUGUAGAAGCAAUAUAUCUUGUGGAGCUUCAUUCCAGCAUGAACAACCUGUAUCUGCCCAGCUCGAUUUCUCACUUCGCAAAGACACAGUGGCUGUUCAAAAGAUACAAUUUGCAUAUAGAAGAUUUGUACACAAUAGAUCUGAAAGAAUAUCUGCUGCAACCAAAAUCCAGAGCCACUGGCGUGGUUUCACCAUGCGGAUGUGUUUCACAAAGCAAGUUGAAGCUAUCACUGUAAUCCAAUCUGUAGCCAGACACAACUUGUGCAGUUGGGCCUUUCAGCGGUAUCACAAUGCUGCACUAGACAUUCAACGUAUUGCCAGAGGAUGUUUCGCUAGAAAGCGACUAUUAGGUUCUUCACUGCAAACCUACACUAGCCUUGUUAGCCUUGACCAAAGUCAGCAUAAAAGAUCUUAUCAGAGUAUUGAACUCAAAAUUGUGUUGUACUCAGCCUUAAGGCUACAAAGAUGGUGGAGGAAGGUCCUAUUGCACCAGUCUAUGAGACUAUCAGCUAUCUCAAUUCAAUCCUCAGUUCGUGGUUGGUUGGCUCGGAAACAAGCCAAACGAAUUACCUGCUGCAUCCAUGUCAUUCAAAGAUGGUGGAGAAAUGUUAUGUUUCUUGAAUCAAGGAAAAGAGCUGUGACUACUAUUCAAUCCCAUGUUCGUGGUUGGAUAGCACGACAGUUUGCUAUUAGAAAAAGGAAGUCUAUAACUAUUAUUCAGUCAUUUGUCAAAGCAUACCUUGUGAGGAAAGCUUCAAAGCAAGAAGUUGUUGACAUAAGGUCUAGAAUUCAGAAGGCUUCUGCACAAGUUGAUGAUGACAUGCGCCUGAUCAAUAGACUAAUUGCUGCGCUGUCACAAAUCACUGGAUGUAGAAGCAUCAGCAGCAUUCGACAAACUUGCACGAUACUAAGUAUUGCUACAGAGCUUUCUGAGAAGUGUUGUGCGACACUUGUUGAUGCCGGUGCUGUAGACAUUCUGCUGAAGCAAAUCCCUCAACUUAACCGUGGGAUCCCUGACCAGGAAGUCUUGAAGCAAGUACUCUAUACACUGCAGAACAUUGCACGAUUCCCAAAUGUUCGACCGGUAUUAGCUAACAAUCCACAAUUGGUUAACACUAUUUUCCAGGAGCUGCUGCGGAACAAAACGGACAUGUUUUUCAUCGCAUGUGAAAUUCUGAAGAAGCUGUGUGAGUCGGAAGAAGGGCGUGGAUUCGCCGGGGCCCUGGGGCACCACAUAAGAAGGCUGGCCAGUAUGGUGCGAGGCCUUGAGAAGAAGGUGGAGCUCGACAAGAGAAAUGGUCACACCGAAGCUCGUAAGGAGGACAAUUUGCGGCGGCUCGGGGAGGCUGCGGCCCUCUACCAUCUUCUCACCGAUAAAUAA
rnacentral:rRNA from 1 species